UGUGCUUUAUUUGAUUUAAAUGUUAAGUGUGAUGAAUUUUUUUAUUUAAGUGUUGUUAUUUUAUUUAAUUGUUUAUUUGUUUUAUUUGAUUGUUUGUUAUUUUAUUUAAUUGUUAGAAAUGUUUUGGUUAAUUAAUUUAAUAAGUGAUUAAUUGUGUAACAUGUUAUCUUACUAUUAGUGUUACAUUUUAUUUAAGUGUGACAAAUGAGGUAUUUAUGUGAGCUAUGGUGGAAUGCACUAAGGUGCAUGAUAGAUAGUAAUGCACCCUAGUAAUUUAGUGUGUGCUAGUGCAUGGUAGCAUGGUGCACAUGUGUAGAUUUUCUACACAUUUUAGGUUUCCUUAUUUUAGAUUUAAUUGAGUAAUUUAUUUAUAAAAAAAAAAAAGAAGAAAAGAAAAGGGAAAUGAGGAGUGGGCGUGCGACCUAGUGGGAAUGGAAUAUUUCCUUAAAAUGGUAAAAAAAUCAAGACUUGAAGACCAUGAUCAUUUGGGGAUAGGCAUGAUCAUAUCUUAUCCCUUUGUAUCUUUUUGAAAUAAAGAAAAAUCAAGGAAAAUAAAAGAGAAAUGGAAACUUACCUUAAUAUUGUUUGGGGAGACUUUAUGAGAGGAUUUGUGAUAAAGGGGCUAAGAAAGGAGAGAAGAGCCAUUGCUCUUGUGUGUGUGUGUGGCUGCUGUGACCUAGAGAGAGAGAGAGAGAGAGAGAGAGAGUGGCGUGUAGAGAGAGAGAGAGAGAGAGAGGAAGAAAGAAAGAAAGGAAGAAGGAAGAAGAAAGUGAAGAGGAACCCCCCUAGAGUAUGUCUUCUUGUUUUCUCUUUUACAUAAUCUUUUUAUUUGAUAAUAUGAUUUUGAUUGUGUUAUUUUUCUUGUGUGUGUUUGGGUCUUUCCUUCUCUUCAUGGUGGCUUUCCCAUAAAAACCCUAGGCUUGAACAAGGGUGUGGAGUUUGUGGUAUUGAUCUUUUGUGUUCUUGAUUCUACAAUCAAGAGAGGUAGCAAAUAGGAUUUCUCUAUGGCACGCGUGGUGACGUGAGGAGUUCUUCAUCAUGGGGUGUAUGGCGUGGGGCAAUCCUAUGGACGAUAAAACGAUCAACGUAGAAUGCCAUUUAAAUUAUGUUUUGUUUUAAGGGACUUUUCCUAAAUUAUCAGUGGGACUCUGUUAUUUAACUUAAUUGGUUUUCUUUGAACUUUGCAUAAAAACCUAUGUUUUAUUUUAAACUUAUGGCGCCAACUUGCAUGAUUUUAAAUAAGUCCCCCUGAGACUUUAAUAAUGGAUGGUAUUCUUUUAUAAGCUAUGUUAUGCGAA